UACGUAGGGUCCGAGCGUUGUCCGGAGUUACUGGGCGUAAAGCGCACGCAGGCGGCCCGCGAGGUGUCACGUGAAAGCCCCGGGCUCAACUCGGGAGGGUCGUGGCAAACCGGCGGGCUUGAGGCCGGUAGAGGUGGGUGGAACUCCUGGUGGAGUGGUGAAAUGCGUAGAGAUCAGGAAGAACACCCGUGGCGAAGGCGGCCCACUGGGCCGGUGCUGACGCUGAGGCGCGAAGGCGUGGGGAGCGAACGGG
rnacentral:rRNA from 1 species